rnacentral:rRNA from 1 species
GGUUAAGCCAUGCAUGUCUAAGUACACACUUUCAUAAAGUGAAACCGCAAAAGGCUCAGUACAACAGCUGUAAUUCCUUAGAUCAUAAACUCAGUUACUUGGAUAACUGUGGAAAAUCUAGAGCUAAUACAUGCAUCAAACGGGGACCUCACGGAACCCGUGCAAUUAUUAGACAAACCAAUGAUCUUCGGAUCUAUAUUGGUGGAACUCUGGAUAAUUUGGCUGAUCGUAUGGUCUCGUACCGACGACAGGUCUUUCAAAUGUCUGCCCUAUCAACUAUUGAUGGUAGUAUAGAGGACUACCAUGGUUGCAACGGGUAACGGGGAAUCAGGGUUCGAUUCCGGAGAGGGAGCCUGAGAAAUGGCUACCACAUCUAAGGAAGGCAGCAGGCGCGUAAAUUACCCAAUGCCAGUACGGCGAGGUAGUGACGAAAAAUAACAAUACAGGACUCUUUUAUGAUGUUCUGUAAUUGGAAUGAAUUAACUUUAAAUCCUUUAAUGAGGAUCAAGUGGAGGGCAAGUCUGGUGCCAGCAGCCGCGGUAAUUCCAGCUCCACUAGCGUAUAUUAAAGUUGUUGCGGUUAAAACGUUCGAAGUUGAACUUUGUCUCACACUGUGGCGUCCCCCUUACGGGUGUUGACGGUCCAUGGCCUGUGCAGACUGUAAGUCUUGGCAAAUUUGCAUCUGACCUUCUGUGUAACAGCAGUUGCGAGGGUGUAUAAUAUAAAAUUGUAUUUAACUGCCUUUUGUUAGGUGGUUUUAUGCAAGCCAAGCACAUUUUUACCUUGAACAAAUUAGAGUGAUCAAAGCAAGCUAUUAUAUGCUUGGAUAAUUAUGCAUGGAAUAAUGGAAUAAGACCCUGGUCUUUUUCUUGUUGGUUUGAAUAGACCAAAGGUAAUGAUUAAUAGAAGCAGUUGGGGGCAUUAGUAUUACGGCGCGAGAGGUGAAAUUCGUAGACCGUCGUAAGACUAUCUGAAGCGAAAGCAUUUGCCAAGGAUGUUUUCAUUAAUCAAGAACGAAAGUUAGAGGAUCGAAGGCGAUUAGAUACCGCCCUAGUUCUAACUGUAAACUAUGUCAGCUAGCAAUUGGAUGUCGCUACUUUACAGGUGCUUUCAAUAGCUCUCGGGAAACCUAAGCUAGGUUCCGGGGGAAGUAUGGUUGCAAAGUUGAAACUUAAAGGAAUUGACGGAAGGGCACCACCAGGAGUGGAGCCUGCGGCUUAAUUUGACUCAACACGGGGAAACUUACCAGGUCCAAACUUAAUAGAGUAAGACAGAUUAAUAGCUCUUUCUCAAAAUUAAGGGUAGUGGUGCAUGGCCGUUCUUAGUUCGUGGAAUGAUUUGUCUGGUUAAUUCCGUUAACGAACGUGACUCAAAUACAUUAAAUAGAUUCCUAUCAGAUAAGUAAACUGUUAAUGCUUGCCUGUAGCAUUCUUUCGGGUUUGUUAUUGGGUAAGUGGAGGUUUACCUGAUAGUUUGUCAACUGUCAAAGGUUGACUUUGAUCUGCUUAAUGAGACAAAUUGUGUUUAGCAAAAUGAGAUUGAGCAAUAACAGGUCCGUGAUGCCCUUAGAUGUCCUGGGUUGCACGCGCGCUACAAUGAGACCAUCAACGUGAUACCUGAUCUGAAAGGAUUGGGAAAUCACUUAAAUGUGCUCUUAGUUGGGAUUGUGGAUUGUAAUUAUUCACAUGAACCUGGAAUUCCCAGUAAAUGCUAGUCAUCAGCUAGCGUUGACUAAGUCCCUGCCCUUUGUACACACCGCCCGUCGCUAUUACCGAUUGGUUAUUUAGUGAGGUCUCCGGAGGUAAUCGCCGAAGUUACUUCGGUAACAUUAGGUUGUUUUGCCAAAGUUGACCGAACUUGAUGAUUGAGAGGAAAUAAAAGUCGUAACAAGGUUUCCGUAGGUGAACCUGCGGAAGGAUCAUUA